AAAUAUUAUAUUAUUCAAAUACUGAUAAAACCGAAAGAUAGUUAUUAAAACAAAAAUAAUAAUUCAUAAUACUCAUUACAUUGUCAAAAUCCAAACGUAAUUAAAACAAGGUAACAGUGGAGCGUCUAAGACAUCAAAUCAAAACUGUAAGGAAAGCCUCGCGAACAAGCAAGGCAUACCGACCAGAACUGAAGAAGCAGAAACACUCAACAAAGUCCAACUGCUAUCAGAAACUAAGAAUAAGAACCUGAAAUAAUAUUAAAAAUGAGAGUGAGUUCAACCAACUCAGUGAAGGAAUAACAUUUAAUAUACAUUUCAUAUAUUUCAGAUAUUAUUUGCAAGAUGAUUUAUCUUGAUAUACAUAUACAUAUACAUAUACAUAUACUUACUAAACAUAUUAUCAUAACGUAGCAUAUUAUCAUAACGUAGUGGAUUACAUGUCAGAGAUCAGAUGACACCCGAAGGUGACCACUGUGGGAUGAUCAAUCACCACAGGCUGAUGCCUCUCUCACCAGCUAGGUAACAGAAUACUAUGUGCACACAGGCUAACUAUUCUCCGUUAGCAUGGAGUACUGACAAGUCCCAUAUCAAGGCAUAACAGAUAUUCACAUAAUCAUCAAAGAAGCGUAUAUCAUAUCAAAUAGAAUUUACUUUAUCAGAUUGCAAGUGCAAAUUCAAGAAUAAAUGAGUAUUCGGAAAAUAAAGCAACAUAUAUAAAUAUUCAAGAAAUUUACUAGUUGUACUCAUUGUAUAAUCAACAUACAUAUUUAUUUAUAUUAUAUGCAUAUUAAAGAUUAUUCCACUCACCCGGAAAAUACUGAACUAAAGGAAUGUCAGACAAAAGACCCGAAAAUCC
rnacentral:lncRNA from 1 species